rnacentral:tRNA from 1 species
ACCUGGUGGUUCAGACGGUAAAGAAUCUGCCUGCAAUGCAGAAGACCCAGGUUCAAUCCCUGGGUCAGGAA